rnacentral:rRNA from 1 species
UACGUAGGGCGCAAGCGUUGUCCGGAAUUAUUGGGCGUAAAGAGCUCGUAGGUGGUUUGUUACGUCUGCUGUGAAAACCUAGGGCUUAACCCUGGGCCUGCAGUGGAUACGGGCAGACUAGAGGUAGGUAUGGGAGAAUGGAAUUCCCGGUGUAGCGGUGAAAUGCGCAGAUAUCGGGAGGAACACCGGUGGCGAAAGCGGCUCACUGGACCACAACUGACGCUGAGGCGCGAAAGCUAGGGGAGCAAACAGG